UACGGGGGGGGCAAGCGUUGUUCGGAAUUACUGGGCGUAAAGGGCUCGUAGGCUGCCAACUAAGUCGGACGUGAAAUCCCUCGGCUUAACCGGGGAACUGCGUCUGAUACUGGAUGGCUUGAGUUUGGGAGAGGGAUGCGGAAUUCCAGGUGUAGCGGUGAAAUGCGUAGAUAUCUGGAGGAACACCGGUGGCGAAGGCGGUAUCCUGGACCAACACUGACGCUGAUGAGCGAAAGCCAGGGGAGCAAACGGG
rnacentral:rRNA from 1 species